rnacentral:rRNA from 1 species
UACGUAGGCAGCGAGCGUUGUUCGGAGUUACUGGGCGUAAAGGGUGCGUAGGUGGUCGGGUAAGUCUCAUGUGAAAUCUCCAGCUUAACUUGGAAAUGGCAUGGGAUACUAUUCGGCUAGAGGAUUGGAGGGGGGGACUGGAAUUCCCGGUGUAGCAGUGAAAUGCGUAGAUAUCGGGAGGAACACCAGUGGCGAAGGCGAGUCCCUGGACAAUUCCUGACGCUGAGGCACGAAAGCUAGGGGAGCAAACAGG